rnacentral:rRNA from 1 species
AUUGAACGCUGGCGGCAGGCCUAACACAUGCAAGUCGAGCGGAUGAAGGGAGCUUGCUCCUGGAUUCAGCGGCGGACGGGUGAGUAAUGCCUAGGAAUCUGCCUGGUAGUGGGGGAUAACGUCCGGAAACGGGCGCUAAUACCGCAUACGUCCUGAGGGAGAAAGUGGGGGAUCUUCGGACCUCACGCUAUCAGAUGAGCCUAGGUCGGAUUAGCUAGUUGGUGGGGUAAAGGCCUACCAAGGCGACGAUCCGUAACUGGUCUGAGAGGAUGAUCAGUCACACUGGAACUGAGACACGGGCCAGACUCCUACGGGAGGCAGCAGUGGUGAAUAUUGGACAAUGGGCGAAAGCCUGAUCCAGCCAUGCCGCGUGUGUGAAGAAGGUCUUCGGAUUGUAAAGCACUUUAAGUUGGGAGGAAGGGCAGUAAGUUAAUACCUGGCUGUUUUGACGUUACCAACAGAAUAAGCACCGGCUAACUUCGU